AUUGAACGCUGGCGGCAGGCCUAACACAUGCAAGUCGAACGAGUGGCGGACGGGUGCGUAAUGUCUGGGAAACUGCCUGCUGGAGGGGGAUAACUACUGGAAACGGUAGCUAAUACCGCAUACCAUCGGAUGUGCCCAGAUGGGAUUAGCUAGUAGGUGGGGUAAAGGCUCACCUAGGCGACGAUCCCUAGCUGGUCUGAGAGGAGGACCGGACAAACUGGAACUGAGACACGGUCCAGACGCCUACGGGAGGCAGCAGUGGGGAAUAUUGCACAAGGGGCGCAAGCCUGAUGCAGACAUGCCGCGUGUGUGAAGAAGGCCUUCGGGUUGUAAAGUACUUUCAGCGGGGAGGAGUUACGCGCAGAAGAAGCACCGGCUAACUCCGUGCCAGCAGCCGCGGUAAGAC
rnacentral:rRNA from 1 species